rnacentral:rRNA from 1 species
UAGGGAAUCUUCCACAAUGGACGCAAGUCUGAUGGAGCAACGCCGCGUGAGUGAAGAAGGUCUUCGGAUCGUAAAGCUCUGUUGUUGGUGAAGAAGGAUAGAGGCAGUAACUGGUCUUUAUUUGACGGUAAUCAACCAGAAAGUCACGGCUAACUACGUGCCAGCAGCCGCGGUAAUACGUAGGUGGCAAGCGUUGUCCGGAUUUAUUGGGCGUAAAGCGAGCGCAGGCGGAAUGAUAAGUCUGAUGUGAAAGCCCACGGCUCAACCGUGGAACUGCAUCGGAAACUGUCAUUCUUGAGUGCAGAAGAGGAGAGUGGAANCUCCAUGUGUAGCGGUGGAAUGCGUAGAUAUAUGGAAGAACACCAGUGGCGAGNGGCUCUCUGGUCUGCAAACUGACGCUGAGGCUCGAAGCAUGGGUAGCGAACAGGAUUAGAUACCCUGGUAGUCCAUGCCGUAAACGAUGAGCGCUAGGUGUUGGGGACUUUCCGGUCCUCAGUGCCGCAGCAAA